GAAUUCUUUGGAUGAAGUCAGUGUACCUUUUAAUUGUGUUGAUUUAGCUCGAUUUGCUAUUAAGUGACCUAGAGUUGCCUAUGUGUGUAAACUGGAAUGGGAUCGGCUCCAAGUUCUCAUUGAACAUGAGUUUCGAUGUAACAGGGUGUAAUAUAGGUGUUGGUAUAUUGUGGAAAAAAAAACCCAAGUCUUAUGUUGCAGGAAACUGCAGCACGGCAUGAUCAAACCUCUUGACUUCAUCCAUCGGGAGGAUAUGAAGCCGCCCAAUGAGUCAUCGGACUAAAGUUGAGCAAACCAGUGUCAUGACCUCUGAGUGUGUGAUAUGGGGAAAAAAACAAACCCAAAAAAGCUCUACAUUUGGAAUCUGGAUGAUCUGCAAGCAUACAAGAGGGAACCACGGCUGUGAUUAGCAGUUGUCGGUCCAGCUUCUCCCACCCAACCCUCUCAUCUUUUACUGACGAUGUCAUCAUCCUGGCAUAUUGGAAAAUGCUUAAUUCAUCACCGAGGCAACACUGAACAACUCAACCGUUCAACAGUUGAGCGCUAAUUCCCAUGAAUUCAAUAACUAUUGAGCUGUUGACACGGGUGUUAUCAUUCCCUCACAGAGGUGUGUGUGUGUUUGGACAUGUGCAAUAAUGUCUCUAUUCAUCCCUCUUUUGGAAGAUUUGAACAAUAAACGAAGCUAUUUCUAUUGGCUGUAUUUGGGAAUGACUUUGACACACACGAUCACUGAAAUUAUCAUUCAAAACAUUGUUAGGGGUUCAUUGCGAGCUGAUUAAAACCAGUUCAUUAUUGUCA